UUCCAUCUUAGAAUCAAUACUGGAUAUUGGCUCCAAGGCAGAAGAGUGGUAAGGGCUAGGCAGUGGGGGUCAAGUGACUUGCCCAGGGUCACACAGCUAGGAAGUGUCUGAGGACAGAUUUGAACCUAGGAUCUCUCAACUCUAGGCUUAGCUCUGUGAAUUUUAGAUUUAGUCCACCCUACUUAGUCUAACAAAACAGAAAUGUCUACACCCCUACUUAAGGAUUAAGUGUUGAGAAGGAUGGCCUAUGACAGACAUGUGCUAGCAAAUGACAAAUCAGAAACAACUGACAGACCCUUUGGGCUGUCCUAAGUCAAGCUUAAGUUACCAUUGGUGCAUGUGAGAUGCAGGAAGUGAUGAUGUAAAAAUGGUCUAUAUAUUCCGCAUCACUUCCUCUCUCUGGGCAUCUUUUCAUGAAGAGGUGGCUCUGGCUCUUGUGGCAGAGAGGUGGCUGGUGGCAGCAUGCUGAAAGUUUUGGCAUCUUGGCGUGGCUGCAGCUAUUGUCCAGGUUUGAUGAUAAAUUGCUCACUGGCUGUUUGCUAUUGCUGAUGGACUUGGAUAUAACUAGCGUUUUGUGAAGAGAAGCUAUGCUGGGUAACACAUAAACUCCAACAGAAAGAGGAAGGGAGAGAGGAAGGGGAAGAAUAAAACCACUAUUUCCCAGAGAUGAAGAUGAAGU
ensembl:lncRNA